CAAGAAUUCUGGGUGCUUAUCUUGCCUGGUACGAGUCCGAUGUCUUCGAGGGAAAACAGUUCACGUUCGUGGCUCGACAACUAUCUGGAUAACACGUGCUCCUUAUCGUCGUCUGCUGCUUUUCAGGUCCCAAGGCACUACACAUCACAUGACCAGUUCCCACAACUUAAGUCAACCGUCGUCAACGCACCAGCGGGAGUUGUAGUAGGCACGAACAGCGAUAUGUUACUCAACGCCCUUCUUGUUAUACAGAUGGAUUCGAUAUCUGCUUCAGGAAGAGCAGGGCUGCUCCGGUGUCGACGACCCUGCUGAGGCCCUUCAUGACGAAACCACGUUCUUCUCGAAGAUAGAUCUAGUUCGAGCAUAAUACAGCCCUGUGUCCUGCCGCCCCUUUGUCAGGCCCUGUGGUUUCCAUGGCACGGCUGCAUUGUGAAACAUAACUGGUGGACGAAAGCACUGAUACUCCAUCAUCUUUAUAAGCAAGCGUGAACUCUGGGUGGGUUAAGACAUCUUUGGAGUAGUCUCGCUGGCAACAUACAGGGCAACAUGGCAACAGAUGGCGCGAGUACAGUGUGGACAAUGACGCAAGUAGGCUACAUGUUGUAGCUGUCACUGAUGUCUUAGGGAUGCUCUUCCUUCUUCUUUGUUCUUUUUCCUUUUCUUUUCUUUUUUUUUGGGGGGGGGGUUAGAGACAAAAAUAUAGAUACAUUAAAACUACUCUUUAUUGGUGUACAAGCUUUCAUGCAGUUGUCUCCAUUUCCUCGCCUGCCUGAUGAGGUGAGAACCACUGCGUGAUGCGAUGUGAUAAGAUAAAGAAAAAAAAUGGGGAUGUGACGCACUGCAUAAAAGCGUGUUCGAUAAUAAACAUUGGU